rnacentral:rRNA from 1 species
UAGGGAAUCUUCCGCAAUGGACGAAAGUCUGACGGAGCAACGCCGCGUGAGUGAAGAAGGAUUUCGGUUCGUAAAACUCUGUUGUUAGGGAAGAAAAAAUGUAUAGUAACUAUAUACAAAAGAGACGGUACCUAACCAGAAAGCCACGGCUAACUACGUGCCAGCAGCCGCGGUAAUACGUAUGUGGCAAGCGUUUUCCGGUAUUAUUGGGCGUACAGCGCGCGCAGGUGGUUUAGAAAGUCUGAUGUGAAAGCCCACGGCUCAACCGUGGAGGGUCAUUGGAAACUAAUAAACAUGAGUGCAGGAGAGAAAAGUGGAAUUCCUAGUGUAGCGGUGAAAUGCGUAGAGAUUAGGAGGAACACCGGUGGCGAAAGCGGCUGUUUGGGCUGCAACUGACACUGAGGGGCGAAAGCGUGGGGAGCAAACAGG